AUCAGUACGACGUGGCUAUAACAAGUGUUCAAAAUCCAGACAAGAGAUUGCGUGAAAAAAAACGUUGUUCAAAGGAUACAGGGUCUGACUCAAGAAUGGGAAAAUCCUUAACAAGAAAGAAACCGAUGAAGACACAACAGAAGGCGCCAUGGGGCGCUGUGUUGUAUUUUAAAUAGUUAAAUCUGUUAUCAAUUUCUAUUCUGACUUGUAAUGUUAAAAAAGGUAGAGAAAAUGAACUCCUGUUUCUCUGAAUUAUCUAGGCUCACGUUGAUAAAUUACACAGAUUUGAGUCACUGCAAUUAAAAUUGUUUUCCCAAUGCCUCCUUCAA